CCUCUCACGCUAAUGGUCACGAGUUCAAUACUCACUCCCGACAUUCUUCCAAAAAUGGAAGUAAAAGUGACGAACCAGCCAAAUGAGUUGAAAGUCACUAUAAUACAGAUAAAAAAAAAAAUAUUGGCGCAUCUGUUUCUAUGAACGAACGAGAUGAAAUGCCAUCAAUAUGCAAGUUCUCUUGAUAUACCGUCCGGGAAGAGUGCUGAAUUGGUCAAGGAUGCGUAUAAUAUUGGAGAUUGAGCAAGAAGCACAGAAUCCGCUGGAUGUGUUUUUUCCAAGUUAACAGCAAUUGUUGCUGUCUGUUGUUAUCAGCGAGCCGAAAUAAGUAUGUUAGAUAGCCUAAGAUUGGAUAAUUCUGGUCAGAUUUCCCGGGAAACCGUUAUCAUCCCUGAUUCUCGAUUGUACCAUGUGCGAAGGUGCGGUCUGCGAAUAUGUGACCCCUAGGAGAAUUUUUCAUAUUCAGCGUUAGU